rnacentral:sRNA from 1 species
AAAGGGCCUGGAGGUGAGAUCCUGAACACUGGCAUGGGGAAGAGGAGCAGAUUCAGAGGACCAAGGCUGAGGGGUUGGGGAAGGUUGCUGGGGGCCUGCAAGAGGCAAUGAGGAUGUGCCUAUAGCUAGGGUUGAGGGUCACAAGGCCCAAAGUUACCUCAAAAUCCUCUGGAGGAAAAAGGACUUUCAUCCACUGUGUUUCUUUCUGCCUGAACUAUCCCUUCUUUGUUUCCCGGCAUACCCCUAGGGCCCAGUUAUGUGCCACCUCCUCUAGGAAGCCUUCUUCAAACCUUUUCCUCUGGGCCCCAAUGCCUGUUUUAUAGUUCAUUUACUCAUUAACAUUUAAUUAAAUAAGUGACUGUACCGAACACUGUUAGGCCCAGGAAAUAUUGCACCAAACAAAACUGACAAGGUCUCCACGUUCAUGGAACUUACAUUCUAGUGAAGGGUGAUAGACAUAGAAAAGAAAAAGAGAAGGAGAAAAAUUAACAGGGAUUGAAAGGUGAUGAAGUGAAGAGUUAAUAAGCUGUAGGGACACUAUUUAAAUUGGAUCAUAGAAAAACCUCUUGAAGACGUCACAGCUGAACUGAGGCCUGAAAGAUAAGGUUGAACCUGUCUAUAAGACUCAGGGAUGAGCAUUCCAAACCAAGGGAACAGCCAGUGCAAAAACAGGAACACAGACCUAAUUAUUUAUUUAAGCAUCUCCUCCAGUGUGAACUCCAAGAACCAAGUUUUCUUCAUUUCCAUAUUUUAACCCUGAGCUCAGUGCCUUGCGCAUAGGAGGUGGACAGUUGGAUGAAUCAAUAAAGAGAUAGAGGAAAGAAUAGGUUGAAGCUGCUCUGGAACCCAGGUGCAAGCUGACUUAGAAGCUGUAAUGAGAUGGGAAAGGGGCCCAACACUUUCUUUUAUAGUUGGAUCCCGAGGGUUCCCUGCACCACCAGCAAAAACGGGAAGCUCCAAGCCGCAGCUCUGCUUCCUCGGGACCUCAGAUCCUGAAAUGCCCGGAGGCUGAGUGUUUCAGGCUGCGCUGUGAGCUCGGGCCCCUGCACCAACAAGAGAGCCAAAGUCUGCAGUUGCAUUUCCGAGUCUGGGCCAAGACUUUCUUGCAGCGGGAGCACCAGCCAUUUAGCCUGCAGUGUGAGGCUGUGUACAAAGCCCUGAAGAUGCCCUACCGAAUCCUGCCUCGGCAGCUGCCCCAAAAGGAGCGUCAGGUGGCCACAGCUGUGCAAUGGACCAAGGCAGAAGGCAGCUAUGGCAUCCCACUGUGGAUCAUCAUCCUAGCCAUCCUGUUUGGCCUCCUGCUCCUAGGUCUACUCAUCUACAUCCUCUACAA